rnacentral:tmRNA from 5 species
AAUCUUGUUAAAAAAUUUCUCCCACUUAUAUUGCCAUACCGCUCCCGGCCUCACAGCUGGGAGACUAUGGUGAUAAACGCAUUUCGCAAUAAACGUUAUGGACUUGGGUGCAAUUCCCAACGCCUCCACCACUAAAUUUGGGGGCGACCAGCUUUCGACAUUCGCUAAAGGAAAUGUUUUCACACGGUUGAGAAACUGCCGGUCUGCUUCGCAGGCAUCCGUUCAAACAAGUAAACGCAAACGAUAACUUUGCUAAUGAUAACUUCGAAUUUGCUCCUGCAACAAAAGUUGCUCUUGCAUAAGUGAAAUUAUCGGGGCUCGCCCGACGCCUGUCAACAGAAGUCGGGCACU